rnacentral:rRNA from 1 species
AACCUCAGAAAGCCAAUCUCAGUUCGGAUUGUAGGCNGCAACUCGCCUACAUGAAGUUGGAAUCGCUAGUAAUCGCGAAUCAGAAUGUCGCGGUGAAUACGUUCCCGGGUCUUGUACACACCGCCCGUCACACCACGAGAGUUUACAACACCCGAAGUCAGUGGCCUAACCGCAAGGAGGGAGCUGCCUAAGGUGGGGUAGAUGAUUGGGGUGAAGUCGUAACAAGGUAAC